GACAGAGGCCUCGAGCGUUAGGCGGAAUCACUGGGCUUAAAGCGUGUGUAGGCGGCGGCCUAAGUACCUUGUGAAAUCCCACGGCUCACCCGUGGAACUGCUCGGUAUACGUGGGUCGCUUGAGCCACUUAGGGGCUACCGGAACAAAUGGUGGAGCGGUGAAAUGCGUAGAUAUCAUUUGGAACGCCAAUGGUGAAAACAGGUAGCUGGGAGUGUGCUGACGCUGAGACACGGAAAGCCAGGGGAGCAAACGGG
rnacentral:rRNA from 1 species